AUUGAACGCUGGCGGAAUGCUUUACACAUGCAAGUCGAACGGCAGCACGGACUUCGGUCUGGUGGCGAGUGGCGAACGGGUGAGUAAUGUAUCGGAACGUGCCCAGUCGUGGGGGAUAACGUAGUGAAAAUUACGCUAAUACCGCAUACGAUCUAUGGAUGAAAGCGGGGGAUCGCAAGACCUCGCGCGAUUGGAGCGGCCGAUAUCAGAUUAGGUAGUUGGUGGGGUAAAAGCCCACCAAGGCAACGAUCUGUAGCUGGUCUGAGAGGACGACCAGCCACACUGGGACUGGAGCCCCGGCCAAAACCCUACGGGAGGCAACAGUGGGGAAUUUUGGACAAUGGGCGAAAGCCUGAUCCCGCCGUUUCGCGUGCAGGAUGAAGGCCCUCGGGUUGUAAACUGCUUUUGUAAAGAACGAAAAGGUUUCUACUAAUACUAGGAGCUCAUGACGGUACUGUAAGAAUAAGCACCGGCUAACUACGUGCCAGCCGCCGCGGUAA
rnacentral:rRNA from 1 species